UGUGACUUCAGUAUCCUAGACAACUCAUGGGUUGGGAUAAAAAAUCACUGGAUGAUCCUAAGCCAGGUUGCUCCACAUCAAGAAUACUCAAGCCAAAAUUAUAGUGAAGUUAAAAUGUAUGAACAAGCUUCCGUACCUUGCUUUCCCUCUUCUUUUUCUCUUGAGAAGCAAAAUCAGAUGGCAAUCUAGUCCAUAUUGGAGAAGUUGCUUAACUGGCGUUCCUGCUCCAAAUGAAAAGAUGGAGACUGAAGUAAAAAAGGAUGAAAUAGGAAUAGAUUUGUAAGAAGACACGAAGACAAACUUGAGGGACACUGGGAUUCAUAACCAAAGAAGGUUUCAGAGCCACUUUUUCAGUGAUCUAGACAUCUGUACUUUGGUAGAAUGUCACGCCUUGGAUUAUUAGCACAAACACUGAGUUUGCUGAAUAUCUGAGAUCAUAUACAGGACACAUUUGGAUUUUCCUGUCCAUCACAGAACUAUCAGAAAGAGGGAAUCUGUUUUCCAUCUAUGUUCGGGUCCUUUCCUAA